GAAAAGAAAGUAAAAAACGAUUCCCUUAGUAGCGGCGAGCGAAACGGGAGAAGCCUAAACUUAAUUCUCUGGAUUAAGGGUAGUGGGACGAUUGUUAAUCGAUUAGGACAAUUAGACGAAUAAGUUGGAAUACUUAACCAAAGAAAGUGAUAGUCUUGUAGUUGAAAAUUGAAAUAAUCAAAUCAAAUCCCAAGUAGCAUGGAGCACGUGAAAUUCCGUGUGAAUCUGCGAGGACCACCUCGUAAGGCUAAAUAUUACUGAAUGACCGAUAGUGAAACAGUACCGUGAGGGAAAGGUGAAAAGAACCCCGGGAGGGGAGUGAAAAGAACAUGAAACCAUAAACUUACAAGCAGUAGGAGGACGACUAAAACGUCUGACUGCGUGCCUGUUGAAGAAUGAGCCGGCGACUUAUAGGUAGUGGCAGGUUAAGGCAGUGAAUGCUGGAGCCAUAGUGAAAGCGAGCCUGAAUAGGGCGUUUGUCACUAGUUAUAGACCCGAACCCGGAUGAUCUAACCAUGGCCAGGUUGAAGCUUAGGUAAUACUAAGUGGAGGACCGAACCGACUGAUGUUGAAAAAUCAGCGGAUGAGCUGUGGUUAGGGGUGAAAUGCCAAUCGAAUUCGGAGCUAGCUGGUUCUCCCCGAAAUGCGUUUUGGCGCAGCGAUAAAUAUUAUAACUUAGGGGUAAAGCACUGUUACGUAUGCGGGCUGGUAAUUCGGUACCAAAUCGUUGCAAACUAAGAAUACUAAGUGAACAGUUUAUCAGUGAGACUGUGGGGGAUAAGCUCCAUUGUCAAGAGGGAAACAGCCCAGAGCACCAGUUAAGGCCCCUAAAUAAUUACUAAGUGGCAAAGGUAGUGGGAGUGCGAAAACAAUCAGGAGGUUUGCUUAGAAGCAGCAAUCCUUUAAAGAGUGCGUAAUAGCUCACUGAUCGAGUAAACCUGCGCCGAAAAUGAACGGGACUAAGUAAUUUGCCGAAACUGUGCGAUAUAUAGAAAUAUAUCGGUAGGGGAGCGUUCUGUUGUAGGUCGAAGUAUUAGCGUAAGCGGAUAUGGACGAAGCAGAAGUGAGAAUGUCGGCUUGAGUAACGAAAAUAUAGGUGAGAAUCCUAUACCCCGAAAACCCAAGGUUUCCUCCGGAAGGCUCGUCCGCGGAGGGUAAGUCAGGACCUAAGGCGAGGCUGAAAAGCGUAGUCGAUGGACAACGGGUUAAUAUUCCCGUACCAUUUUUUAUUGACAACGAGGGACGGAGAAGGCUAAGCUAGCCGGAUAUUGGUUACCGGUUUAAACGUUCAAGAUGUUGAGAAGCGGCGAAAACGCUUUGAGUUGAGACGUGAGUACGAGACGCUAAGGCGUCGAAGUAGUGUAUGUCAUACUUCCAAGAAAAGCUUGCACUGUCAUAAAUAAAAAAUGCCUGUACCAUAACCGACACAGGUGGGUAGGUAGAGUAUACUAAGGGGCGCGAGAUAACUCUCUCUAAGGAACUCGGCAAAAUGACUCCGUAACUUCGGGAGAAGGAGUGCCUUAUUCGUAAGGCUGCAAUAACAAGAUCCAAGCAACUGUUUAUCAAAAACACAGGUCUCCGCUAAGUCGUAAGACGAUGUAUGGGGGCUGACGCCUGCCCAGUGCCAGAAGGUUAAAGAAGUUGGUUAGCAUUUGCGAAGCUGAUAACUGAAGCCCUGGUGAACGGCGGCCGUAACUAUAACGGUCCUAAGGUAGCGAAAUUCCUUGUCGGGUAAGUUCCGACCUGCACGAAUGGCGUAACGAUUUCCCCACUGUCUCCAACAUAGACUCAGUGAAAUUGAAUUCUCGGUUAAGAUGCCGAGUAACCGUGGUUAGACGGAAAGACCCCGUGCACCUUUACUGCAGCUUUGUAUUGGUAUUAGGGAACAGAUGUGUAGCAUAGGUGGGAGACUUUGAAGGAGUGGCGCUAGCCAUUCUGGAGUCACUAGUGAAAUACCACUCUUCUGUUCCUUGAUGCCUAACCAUACACCGUCAUCCGGUGUUGGGACCAUGCAUGGUGGGCAGUUUGACUGGGGCGGUCGCCUCCCAAAGAGUAACGGAGGCGCGCGAUGGUAGGCUCAGAACGCUUGGAAACCGUUCGUCGAGUGCAAUGGCAUAAGCCUGCCUGACUGCGAGACUGACAAGUCGAGCAGAGACGAAAGUCGGUCAUAGUGAUCCGGUGGUUCUGAGUGGAAGGGCCAUCGCUCAACGGAUAAAAGGUACGCCGGGGAUAACAGGCUGAUACUGCCCAAGAGCUCAUAUCGACGGCAGUGUUUGGCACCUCGAUGUCGGCUCAUCACAUCCUGGGGCUGGAGCAGGUCCCAAGGGUUUGGCUGUUCGCCAAUUAAAGUGGUACGUGAGCUGGGUUCAGAACGUCGUGAGACAGUUCGGUCCCUAUCUGCUAUGCGUGUAGAAGAAUUGAGAGGAGUUGACCCUAGUACGAGAGGACCGGGUUGAACAUACCACUGGUGGACCGGUUGUAGCGCCAGCUGCAGUGCCGGGUAGCUAAGUAUGGACGAGAUAACUGCUGAAAGCAUCUAAGCGGGAAACUCACCUCAAAACUAGUUCUUCCUAUAGAGCCGUGGUAGACCACCACGUUGAUAGGCUGGAUGUGGAAGCGCAGUAAUGCGUGCAGCUGACCAGUACUAAUAGCUCAAUUGGCUUGAUUUA
rnacentral:rRNA from 1 species